UAGGGAAUCUUCGGCAAUGGGGGCAACCCUGACCGAGCAACGCCGCGUGAGUGAAGAAGGUUUUCGGAUCGUAAAGCUCUGUUGUAAGUCAAGAACGGGUGUGAGAGUGGAAAGUUCACACUGUGACGGUAGCUUACCAGAAAGGGACGGCUAACUACGUGCCAGCAGCCGCGGUAAUACGUAGGUCCCGAGCGUUGUCCGGAUUUAUUGGGCGUAAAGCGAGCGCAGGCGGUUUGAUAAGUCUGAAGUUAAAGGCUGUGGCUCAACCAUAGUUCGCUUUGGAAACUGUCAAACUUGAGUGCAGAAGGGGAGAGUGGAAUUCCAUGUGUAGCGGUGAAAUGCGUAGAUAUAUGGAGGAACACCGGUGGCGAAAGCGGCUCUCUGGUCUGUAACUGACGCUGAGGCUCGAAAGCAUGGGUAGCGAACAGGAUUAGAUACCCUGGUAGUCCAUGCCGUAAACGAUGAGUGCUAAGUGUUGGGAGGCUUCCGCCUCUCAGUGCUGCAGCUAACGCACUAAGCACUCCGCCUGGGGGAGUACGACCGCAAGGUUGAAAC
rnacentral:rRNA from 1 species